rnacentral:lncRNA from 1 species
GGCCCGCCUCGUCGAGGGUUCCGCUGAGCUGCUCACAAGGGCGUGCGGAGGCCCGCGGCCGGCCCUGGCCCCUGUGGUGGCAGCAGCUGGCUGGCUUCCCGGGCGGCUACCUCCAGCUGCAGCUGUCGGUGCUAUUUGCAGCUCUCCACAUCCUGAGAGCUGGACGCCGAGGACCGCUCCCUGGAGGGCGUGCGUAAAAUGCAGCAGCGGAGCGGUGAGGAGAUUACCGGAAAAACUGGGAGCGGAGUCAGGCUCGUUCUGGAGCAGGGAGAGGCUUGGGAAGUUGCGAAACGUUGACCUGCAGGGUCUUGAGGAACUGUCGGCCUGGGCUGUCCCCGUGGGUCAUUGAACAUUAAUCAGCCACCAGUCCUCGACCAAGCCAACCGAAAUAGAGUCAGCAGGCAGAAUGACGAAUACAGUUUGAAAGGGAACGAACUUACUCUUAUUCUCUCCUUGGAAAGGCCUUUCCAGACUCUCGAACUCACCCCUGUCACAUUACCCUGUUGUGUUAUCUUUGUGGGCCUGCGCAGCACCUGAAAUGAUCUGUCUUAGCAGUUCUACUUUUGAGGUAUCUGAAGACCCACACAUGCCUGAGAGAAAUGUACAGAUGUUCAGCGCAGUACUGUUAAACAGCAAAAAAUAGGAAACAAUCUAAAUGUCCAUCAGUAAGGGAAUGAUGAAAAAUAUUAUGGAUCAUAUACAAGUGAGAUCGAAAAAAGAAAAAAUAUGUAUUAUGGAGCACCAUACUGUGGAAUGUCACGUACAUGACUGAAUUAUGUGACUAAAGAGAACAAUGAAUAUGAGUACAUAAUUUACAAGGAUCUCUCUAAUCCCUUUUCCACUUAUUUUUAAAAUGGUAUUUAGUAUAUCUGCAAAAUUAUUUAUUUCUAGUAGACAAGGCCUCACUAUGUUGCCCAGGCUAGUGUCAAACUCCUGGCCUCAAGUGAUCCUCCCACCUCGGCCUCCCAAAGUGCUGGGAUUAUAAGUGUGAGCCACUGUGCCUGGCUUUCCACUGACUUUCUAUUUCUGGAUUCCAGAGUCUGCAUACCCUUGCCCACCACUGCUCAUGCUCACUUACAGGUUUAGUCAUACUAUUGCAGAUUUUAUUCCUACUUCCUUCUUUUCAGUGGAUGCCCAAUAAAUUCAACUAUUUAAGCUAAGCACAGUGGUGUGUCCCUGUAAUCCCAGCUACUUGAGAAACUGAGGCGGGAGGAUUGUUUGAGCAGAUUUGGAGACCAACCUGGGCAACAUAGAGAUUCUAUGUAAUCUCUCAUGUCAAAAUAAGUAAAAAUUCCACUAAUUAGAAGGUCCAAACCAAUGCACAUGUCUAAAGUCAUCUAGCAUUUCUUCCUGGUAGAGAUUACCUUAGACUGAACCCCCCUGGAAGACGAGCAUUACAUAUUCUGGAGUGUGGCAUAUUAUGUUUGUGUCAUUCCAUGUUGUAUGGUUAUCUGUCAUGAUGUAUCGUGAAACAAGCAAUUCUAUAACAGAGCACUAUUUUGCCUCAUUACUCUGGGAGCAAUGUGGCAUAGACCCAUGGAAUUUCCCAAGUUGUGGCAAGUGUUAUUAGCACUGCCUUGGUAUUAAGAGGACAAGAAAAUGAACCACCAUCUUUUGCUGGAUAGACAAUCAAAUCACUUUCUGGCUUUUAUCUACUUUUAAAAUACAUUUCAAGGGUCAUUUGAAAAUGACACAAAGCACAAAUAUGAAAAGAAAUUCAAAUAUUAUCACACUCCCUAAUAAAACAGCCUAAUUACCAAAGGCUCACAUUUUAGCAAGUUAAUUCUAAGACUUAAGCUGUGUACGGUGUGUGCAAAUUUGCAGAUACCUUACCAUCACAUGCAAGUGUCUUACUGCUACUGAAAGCUAUCAGACCCUUUCAGGAGGCGUGUUGUACCAAGCAGACCUAAAUGUGAACUUUCAUCAAGGACCUUUUUAGGAGGCGUAUUGUACCAAGCAGACCUAAAUGUGAACUUUCAUCAAGGACUAUGUGAUGUCAAGCAAGGCAGUACCCAUGUAUUUCAUUCAAAAACCAGUUGUCUCUCCUGUGUUUUUUUUUUUUUUUUGAGAUGGAGUCUUGCUCUGUCACCCAGGCUGGAGUGCAGUGGCACAAUCUCGGCUCACUGCAACCUCCGCCUCCCGGGUUCACGCCAUUCUCCUGCCUCAGCCUCCUGAGUUACUGGGACUACAGGCGCCCAGCACCACGCUUGGCUAAUUUUUUGUAUUUUUAGUAGAGGCGGGGUUUCACCACGUUAGCCAGGAUGGUCUCAAUCUCCUGACCUCGUGAUCUGCCCGCCUUGGCCUCCCAAAGUGCUGGGAUUACAGGCGUGAGCCACUGCGCCCGGCCUCUCCUGUAGUUUUCAACAUAGUUAAAUCCUACAAUGUCUGAGCAAUGGUUACAAUUCCUUAGGUAGUAAGGGAAAUACCUGUUGAAUGGCAGUUUGUGUUACAUGGGCGCUUUUCUUAUCUUUAUCAUUUAAUCAUUACCCCUCGGGUACACAGGACACACAAAUUUCAUUUUUCAGAUUUCACUUUA